rnacentral:rRNA from 1 species
AGAGUUUGAUCAUGGCUCAGGACGAACGCUGGCGGUGCGCCUUAUGCAUGCAAGUCGAGCGAAGCUUUUCAGUAGUUUACUACAGAAAAUGACUGAGCGGCGAACGGGUGAGUAACGCGUGAGCAACCUACCUUAGUUACUGGGAUAGCCCGAGGAAACUCGGAUUAAUACCGGAUAUUCUUAUUUAAUCAUAUGAUUUUUUAAGGAAAGGUCAGCCGAACUAAGAUGGGCUCGCGUUCUAUCAGCUAGUUGGUAGGGUAACGGCCUACCAAGGCUACGACGGAUAGCUGGUCUGAGAGGACGAUCAGCCACACUGGGACUGAGACACGGCCCAGACUCCUACGGGAGGCUGCAGCAGGGAAUAUUGUGCAAUGAACGAAAGUUUGACACAGCGACACCGCGUGUGGGAUGACGGAUCUAGGUUUGUAAACCACUUUCAGGAGGGAAGAAAAUGACGGUACCUCCACAAGAAGCCCCGGCCAACUACGUGCCAGCAGCCGCGGUAAUACGUAGGGGGCGAGCGUUGUCCGGAUUUAUUGGGCGUAAAGAGCUCGUAGGCGGUUCAACAAGUCGGUCGUGAAAGUUCAGGGCUCAACCCUGAAAUGUCGAUCGAUACUGUUGUGACUAGGAUACGGUAGAGGUGAGUGGAAUUCCGAGUGUAGCGGUGAAAUGCGUAGAUAUUCGGAGGAGCACCAAUUGCGAAGGCAGCUCACUGGGCCGCUAUCGACGCUGAGGAGCGAAAGCUAGGGGAGCAAACAGGAUUAGAUACCCUGGUAGUCCUAGCUGUAAACGAUGGAUACUAGACGUAGGAACUGGAUUGACGGUUUCUGUGUCGUAGCUAACGCGUUAAGUAUCCCGCCUGGGGAGUACGGUCGCAAGACU